rnacentral:rRNA from 1 species
UACGAAGGGGGCUAGCGUUGCUCGGAAUCACUGGGCGUAAAGCGCACGUAGGCGGAUUGCUAAGUCAGGGGUGAAAUCCUGGAGCUCAACUCCAGAACUGCCUUUGAUACUGGCGACCUUGAGUCCGGGAGAGGUGAGUGGAACUGCGAGUGUAGAGGUGAAAUUCGUAGAUAUUCGCAAGAACACCAGUGGCGAAGGCGGCUCACUGGCCCGGUACUGACGCUGAGGUGCGAAAGCUAGGGGAGCAAACAGG